rnacentral:rRNA from 1 species
GACAGAGGGUGCGAACGUUGCUCGGAAUUACUGGGCGUAAAGCGUGCGCAGGCGGUUUCUUAAGUCAGAUGUGAAAGCCCCGGGCUUAACCUGGGAACUGCGUUUGAAACUGGGAGACUAGAGUGUGGCAGAGGGGGGUGGAAUUCCACGUGUAGCAGUGAAAUGCGUAGAUAUGUGGAGGAACACCGAUGGCGAAGGCAGCCCCCUGGGUUAACACUGACGCUCAUGCACGAAAGCGUGGGGAGCAAACAGG